ACUUUUGUAACUCAUUAGGAGAAAGAAACAAAAGGGUUCCCACAAGGGGCCAAUCUUACCUUCCAGGCUGUCUAAUUCAGCCAUCCAUCCUCUUCCAUUCAAUGCUUAGGUAACCAUUCAGUGGCUCCCGGGUGCUGAGUAUGGAGGCUUCAGGGAUGGACGGGGGUCAUGGGCUUCAGCCACCGACUACCCUUCGCGGCCCAGCCCCCAUCUGCAGUCCCUGCCAGAAGUCUCCAGUCUUUUUCGUGGCUGUGAGAUCUGUGUUGUCUCCAGGAGAGAAGAACUCAAUGGCUUAGAAUCAGCCCAAGGUCUCUAAAGUCCCAAGCUCUCCUCUGGCAUGUCUGCCCCUCGUUUCCAGCCCUCCCAUGCCUGGGUGGGUCCCCUCCUGUCUCCCCAUAUCCCAGUUCCUUUAAACAGGUCCCGGGUGCUUUUACCAGCCCUGGCAGGCACACCUGUCCCCUUGUUAAAGUCUUGCCAGGUGUGACAAACUCACCCUCGCCCAGCUGAGACUCGGCCAUUUGGGACUUUUCCUCAUCUUCUAUUGUUUCCAACUUUAACCGUCAUUCCGACUCAGCAGUCAUUGGAAAUUCCCAGCCUUCCCUGCUCUGGCAGCAGCCCGGGUCCUCGGAGAAGCAGAGGUACUAGCUUAUGUCAGGGUCACCUAUGCUCACCGAAGUAACAGGGGUGGGACCCCUUUCUCCAAAGGAAUAAGCUCUUCAGAGGGGCUGCCUUGUCAUGAUAUCCGUCUGUAGCUUCAUAAUCAACUCACUUUUUCAGUUA